rnacentral:rRNA from 1 species
UGGGGGAUUAGUGGCGAACGGGUGAGUAACACGUGAGUAACCUGCCCUUGACUCUGGGAUAAGCCUGGGAAACUGGGUCUAAUACCGGAUACGACCAUCUGGCGCAUGUCAUGGUGGUGGAAAGCUUUUGUGGUUUUGGAUGGACUCGCGGCCUAUCAGCUUGUUGGUGGGGUAAUGGCCUACCAAGGCGACGACGGGUAGCCGGCCUGAGAGGGUGACCGGCCACACUGGGACUGAGACACGGCCCAGACUCCUACGGGAGGCAGCAGUGGGGAAUAUUGCACAAUGGGCGAAAGCCUGAUGCAGCGACGCCGCGUGAGGGAUGACGGCCUUCGGGUUGUAAACCUCUUUCAGUAGGGAAGAAGCGAAAGUGACGGUACCUGCAGAAGAAGCGCCGGCUAACUACGUGCCAGCAGCCGCGGUAAUACGUAGGGCGCAAGCGUUAUCCGGAAUUAUUGGGCGUAAAGAGCUCGUAGGCGGUUUGUCGCGUCUGCUGUGAAAGACCGGGGCUCAACUCCGGUUCUGCAGUGGGUACGGGCAGACUAGAGUGCAGUAGGGGAGACUGGAAUUCCUGGUGUAGCGGUGAAAUGCGCAGAUAUCAGGAGGAACACCGAUGGCGAAGGCAGGUCUCUGGGCUGUAACUGACGCUGAGGAGCGAAAGCAUGGGGAGCGAACAGGAUUAGAUACCCUGGUAGUCCAUGCCGUAAACGUUGGGCACUAGGUGUGGGGGACAUUCCACGUUUUCCGCGCCGUAGCUAACGCAUUAAGUGCCCCGCCUGGGGAGUACGGCCGCAAGGCUAAAACUCAAAGGAAUUGACGGGGGCCCGCACAAGCGGCGGAGCAUGCGGAUUAAUUCGAUGCAACGCGAAGAACCUUACCAAGGCUUGACAUGAA